CAUUUAAUUUAAUUUAUAUAGCGCCAAAUCACAACAAAGAUGCCUCAAGGCGCUCCACACAAGCAAGGUCCAACCCCACCAACCACACAGCAAGCACACAGGCGACAGGGGUUAGGAAAAACUCCCUCUGUUGUUUUGAGGAAGAAACUUAAAGCAGACCAGAUUCAGAGGGGUGACCCACUGCUUAGUCCAUUCUAAUGGUAACAGAGAUCAAAUAAUCAAAGCACAACAAAGAAUCAUCAAACAUGCAAAACAAAAACAAAAGUCCAAUUGUAGGUUGUUGUAAUUGUCUACAUCCCCAAUGCAGGAGCCACAGGUGAGUCCUCAACCAGGGGUCCAUCAGGCAUCACUAAAACUUGAGGCGUCCAUCCUGACAGCAGCACCUCAACCAGAGGAGAGUAGAAUCAAUCAGCCGGAUCCAGCUGGUGCUGCAUGGAGUUUGUUCCAAAUUCCAUAAAAAGUUGGAAGUCAUUCUCAACCCCACUUGGAUCUCUGAAGAGGUCAACUGACUGAACAACUUGGUGCAAAUGAGGUAGCACACACAUGCGCUACUGUGUUGCUGGUUGCUAAUUUCCGUUGAAGACAUGAGUACCACAUCAGGCUGUGCACCCUCCAAAGGUUUCAAACUGAAUUAUUAUUAUUAGUAGUACUAUUUAUUUAUUCAUAUAUAUAUAUAUAUAUAUAUAUAUAUAUAUUUUUUUUUUUUUUUUAAUGGUUCUGGAAUUGUCAGUCUUUCCACCAAACACCAUUGGGAGACAAACCUCACACAGAAUUUUGAUGGUAACAGGAAACUAGGAUGAAUGGAGAAAACCUCAUAGCAACAACCACGACUGUCAUGUGCAGACAAUGCCAAAAUUUUAUUCAAGACGUUGAUUUACUCUUACGUCAACAUUUUACAAACUGUAGCUCCAGUUUGAUCUACACAUGGGGGAUGGUUAAAAAAUAGAAUAUAUUCCACUAAGGUUGAGUUUCCAGACUGGAAAACUCUCCGUGCUUUAAUCAGCGGCCCUGCUCCAGGACAAAACAAGUGUCCGUAUGCUCCGUUUAGCACAUGCAAUGUCUUUCAACUUCUUCCAAACAAAAUAUAUUAAUGCCCAUCUCUGUUUUUAGGAGAAAAAACUUAACUAGCAUUAGCUUAGCCCUGUCAGUCUGCUAAGGUUUUCGGAGUGAGGCUCUUUACUGUGCAGCCGCCACUCCUUUGAUGGCAAACUAUUCUUAUUGGGAAGCAUGUUCACGGAAACACAGUUGUAGCUUUACAUAUUUCGCUUAAUGGACCCUGUAGCAGGGAAAUGGAAAGCAAGAAGGGGUGUCCAUAACAACUCUUACUGCUAUAAUUAUUUUUUUAAACCAUAUGAAAGCUUUUCCAAAGGUUUGGGGGAAGAACAGCGUAGUCAAGAGUUAAAUACAUAUAUAUAUAUAUAUGCAAAAUGCAUUGACAGGCUUCCCACUAUGUCUCAAAGUCUUAUUUUAUGGCAUCAAUGUGGCAUGUUUGGAAAAAUGACAUGGUCUUUAUUCAUUAAAAAUAACCACAAUUGCCAUUAAUGAAGUUAUGAUGCAUGUAACCAUGGUGACACAUUGGUUAUCUCCGAGUACUGGGAUGAAGAGGAGCUAACAGAGGCUGACUUGAGUUUCAUCAGAAUUUUCUUUAAAUACUUUUUUAAGUAACUUUCAAUACAUCCAUUCAUGUUGAAAAACUUUUUA